AGAGUUUGAUCCUGGCUCAGAACGAACGCUGGCGGCAUGCCUAACACAUGCAAGUCGAACGAGACCUUCGGGUCUAGUGGCGCACGGGUGCGUAACGCGUGGGAACCUGCCUUUAGGUUCGGAAUAACUCAGAGAAAUUUGAGCUAAUACCGGAUAAUGUCUUCGGACCAAAGAUUUAUCGCCUUUAGAUGGGCCCGCGUUGGAUUAGCUAGUUGGUGGGGUAAAGGCCUACCAAGGCGACGAUCCAUAGCUGGUCUGAGAGGAUGAUCAGCCACACUGGGACUGAGACACGGCCCAGACUCCUACGGGAGGCAGCAGUGGGGAAUAUUGGACAAUGGGCGAAAGCCUGAUCCAGCAAUGCCGCGUGAGUGAUGAAGGCCUUAGGGUUGUAAAGCUCUUUUACCCGAGAUGAUAAUGACAGUAUCGGGAGAAUAAGCUCCGGCUAACUCCGUGCCAGCAGCCGCGGUAAUACGGAGGGAGCUAGCGUUGUUCGGAAUUACUGGGCGUAAAGCGCACGUAGGCGGCUUUUUAAGUCAGGGGUGAAAUCUCGGGGCUCAACCCCGGAACUGCCCUUGAAACUGGGAAGCUAGAAUCUUGGAGAGGCGAGUGGAAUUCCGAGUGUAGCGGUGAAAUGCGUAGA
rnacentral:rRNA from 1 species